rnacentral:rRNA from 1 species
CCUACGGGAGGCAGCAGUGAGGAAUAUUGGUCAAUGGACGAGAGUCUGAACCAGCCAAGUAGCGUGAAGGAUGACUGCCCUAUGGGUUGUAAACUUCUUUUAUAUGGGAAUAAAAUGUUCCACGUGUGGGAUUUUGUAUGUACCAUAUGAAUAAGGAUCGGCUAACUCCGUGCCAGCAGCCGCGGUAAUACGGAGGAUCCGAGCGUUAUCCGGAUUUAUUGGGUUUAAAGGGAGCGUAGGUGGAUUGUUAAGUCAGUUGUGAAAGUUUGCGGCUCAACCGUAAAAUUGCAGUUGAAACUGGCAGUCUUGAGUACAGUAGAGGUGGGCGGAAUUCGUGGUGUAGCGGUGAAAUGCUUAGAUAUCACGAAGAACUCCGAUUGCGAAGGCAGUUCACUGGACUGCAACUGACACUGAGGCUCGAAAGUGUGGGUAUCAAACAGGAUUAGAUACCCGAGUAUC